rnacentral:rRNA from 1 species
UAUACAGGAGUAUAGCCCGAAGAAAUUCGGAUUAAUCCUCCAUAGUAUUUUCUAAUGGCAUCAUUUGGAAAAUUAAAGCUUCGGCGGUAUAAGAUGGGCAUGCGUCCUAUUAGCUAGAUGGUAAGGUAACGGCUUACCAUGGCAACGAUAGGUAGGGGGCCUGAGAGGGUGAUCCCCCACACUGGUACUGAGACACGGACCAGACUCCUACGGGAGGCAGCAGUGAGGAAUAUUGGGCAAUGGAGGCAACUCUGACCCAGCCAUGCCGCGUGCAGGAAGAAUGCCCUAUGGGUUGUAAACUGCUUUUAUUUAGGAAUAAACCCUUCUACGUGUAGAAGGCUGA